AGUUUAGCUUGGUCAUCAGACAGAUAGGUGCAGGGCAGUAAAGGGAGCCAAGGAAAGGGGCCCCAGUCCUCCUUGAAGCUGGGGAUCCACUUUUGCUUAUGGCAUUUUUUUCUGUUGAGCUAGCAGAGGUGCAGGGUGCUUGUGUCCUGUGCCUAGGCCUGGGGGCAUCAGGGGCCUGGGCACCUAUUGGCUUUCUCAUUUAGCACAAAGUGUGCUCUCACUCCCAGGGUAGAGUGUUCUGUCUCUCUUCCUGGAGCAGGGGGUCGGGGGGAUGCCUUCAGGGGUAGAUGAAAGAGAAAAGAAAUGGAUCUUCCUGUUUUUCCCUCUGCCUCACCCCCUAGAUUCCACAGGUUUUGGUGAAGUUGAAGAAGUACUCUCAUGGAGACAAGGACUUCACUGAGGAUGUCAACUGUGCUUUUGAGUUCCUGCUGAAGCUCACACCCUUGUUGGACAAAGCUGACCAGCGCUGCAACUGUGACUGUACAAACUUCCUGCUCCAAGAAUGUGGCAAGCAGGGGCUUCUGUCUGAGGCCAGCGUCAACAACCUUAU
rnacentral:sRNA from 1 species